rnacentral:rRNA from 1 species
CCCUUAGACGUUCUGGGCCGCACGCGCGCUACACUGACCAGUGCAACAAGCAUCCGUCCUUGGCCGACAGGCCCGGGCAAUCUUUGAACGCUGGUCGUGAUGGGGAUAGACUUUUGCAAUUUUUGGUCUUCAACGAGGAAUUCCUAGUAAACGCAAGUCAUCAGCUUGCAUUGAUUACGUCCCUGCCCUUUGUACACACCGCCCGUCGCACCUACCGAUUGAAUGGUCCGGUGAAAUCUCGGGACGGCGGCUCGGUCGCUUGCGUCCGACUGCUGAAACUUGAUUAAACCAUAUCAUUUAGAGGAAGGUGAAGUCGUAACA